CUCUGAGCUUAACAACAUUUUCUAAAUCAUUAUUGUUAUUAUUAUUAAAAGGCUAAAGACAAACGUUUAAAAAUAAAUCACUUCUAUGAAAAGGUAAAAUCCGUCCAAAAUUAAGUAACUCUUAAAAAUAUUGUCCUCCCAGCUAUAAUGGUAUAUGUCUCACUCUGCUGGUAUUGAUGGAUGGUAUAGGUCUCACACUCUGCUGGUAUUGAUGGAUGGUAUAGGUCUCACUCUGCUGGUAUUGAUGGAUGGUACAGGUCUCACUCUGCUGGUAUUGAUGGAUGGUAUAGGUCUCACACUCUGCUGGUAUUGAUGGAUGGUAUAGGUCUCACACUCUGCUGGUAUUGAUGGAUGGUAUAGGUCUCACACUCUGCUGGUAUUGAUGGAUGGUAUAGGUCUAGGUCACACUCUUCUGGUAUUGAUGGAUGGUAUAGGUCUCACACUCUGCUGGUAUUGAUAGAUGCUUAUGUACUGAAGUAUGAGAUAGAGA
rnacentral:lncRNA from 1 species